AAAAAAGAACAUGUUUCCUUUUGUGAACUAGAUUCUCUUAAACUUCAGCAAAAUUACCCGUGCAUUGUUCUUGGGUGAACCUCUGUAUUUUAUUGGUACCUGAAGGCUCAGUAAAUGAUGCUACAUUU